AGCAUUAUAUAUCUAGUUGUUUUUUUUUGGUGGUGCAGGCACUUAUUUAUCCUUGUGCGUGUUAUCUAAAGAUACACAACGGUAGAUUAUCAAAACUUGAGAUAACAAAGUGUGUAUUAGUUAUUAUUGUGGGGGUGCUAAGCUCUAUCGUUGGAACAUAUUCUGCUCUAUUAAGAAUAGCUAAUGGAGACGACUAAUUAGGAGAAUGUUUUUUUUUUUUCUUGAUCUAAAACUCCCCUCUUUCGAAAUGUUGUGCCAGAUAUUUUAGCAUAAAAUAUUUGGACUUCUCUAGAUAAAUUACGUAGGUCAUUUUAUUAAUUUGUAGUUAUGUUUUCUAGUUUAAAACAUUAUAUAGAUUAUAUACACAUGGGGUGAUCCUAGUAUUUUGGAAGAAACAUGCACAAGUAACGUGGUUGUACGUACUAAGGAUGAAUUGAACAUUACCACCAAAA